AAGUCGUAACAAGGUUUCCGUAGGUGAACCUGCGGAAGGAUCAUUAACACGUAUCCAACGUUAAAACAACCCCGUGAACUUUCAGCUCCUGUAGCCCCUGGUAAAUCAUUGUUGACCAGCUUUUGAGUCAGGGACCUCUGCAGAAUGUGAUAUUUUAUAGCUACGGUUGAGCGAUUGCAUCUAGUGACCUGGCAUCCCCAAGUAAUCAGUGUUCUGAAAGUGUCAUAUUGAUUGUGUAAGGAUGGCGCAGUCACGAUCGCUGUAGGCCCACACGGCCGGCGACCGGGUCACCAGUCUAACUUCGCCGCGCGUGAAAUUCGCACGGCACCAAAAACCGAACAACUGUUAACAAUGGAUAUCUUGGUUCUC
rnacentral:misc_RNA from 1 species